rnacentral:rRNA from 1 species
ACGAACGCUGGCGGCAUGCCUAACACCUGCAAGUCGAACGAGACCUUCGGGUCUAGUGGCGCACGGGUGCGUAACGCGUGGGAACCUGCCCUUAGGUUCGGAAUAACUCCCCGAAAGAGGUGCUAAUACCGGAUAAUGUCUUCGGACCAAAGAUUUAUCGCCUUUGGAUGGGCCCGCGUUGGAUUAGCUAGUUGGUAGGGUAAAAGCCUACCAAGGCGACGAUCCAUAGCUGGUCUGAGAGGAUGAUCAGCCACACUGGGACUGAGACACGGCCCAGACUCCUACGGGAGGCAGCAGUGGGGAAUAUUGGACAAUGGGCGAAAGCCUGAUCCAGCAAUGCCGCGUGAGUGAUGAAGGCCUUAGGGUUGUAAAGCUCUUUUACCCGGGAUGAUAAUGACAGUACCGGGAGAAUAAGCUCCGGCUAACUCCGUG